rnacentral:rRNA from 1 species
AGUCGAGCGGACAGAUGGGAGCUUGCUCCCUGAUGUUAGCGGCGGACGGGUGAGUAACACGUGGGUAACCUGCCUGUAAGACUGGGAUAACUCCGGGAAACCGGGGCUAAUACCGGAUGCUUGUUUGAACCGCAUGGUUCAAACAUAAAAGGUGGCUUCGGCUACCACUUACAGAUGGACCCGCGGCGCAUUAGCUAGUUGGUGAGGUAAUGGCUCACCAAGGCAACGAUGCGUAGCCGACCUGAGAGGGUGAUCGGCCACACUGGGACUGAGACACGGCCCAGACUCCUACGGGAGGCAGCAGUAGGGAAUCUUCCGCAAUGGACGAAAGUCUGACGGAGCAACGCCGCGUGAGUGAUGAAGGUUUUCGGAUCGUAAAGCUCUGUUGUUAGGGAAGAACAAGUGCCGUUCAAAUAGGGCGGCACCUUGACGGUACCUAACCAGAAAGCCACGGCUAACUACGUGCCAGCAGCCGCGGUAAUACGUAGGUGGCAAGCGUUGUCCGGAAUUAUUGGGCGUAAAGGGCUCGCAGGCGGUUUCUUAAGUCUGAUGUGAAAGCCCCCGGCUCAACCGGGGAGGGUCAUUGGAAACUGGGGAACUUGAGUGCAGAAG